rnacentral:rRNA from 1 species
AUGUAUGCAUACAUAGAGAAUACUGAUGAUCGAUCAACAUAUACAUGUAUGCAGAGCAACCUGGCCAUGAAAGUGAAUACAGUCGAAAAGCUACUUCUCUUGGUGUUGGUGACCUUCAGUGCACAUCAUGUGGUCGUCGUGUGCAGCUCCUCCUUCUUACAUGGAAAUGACACAGAUAUGUUAUCACUGCUUGACUUUAAGGAUGCAAUCAGUCUCGAUCCACAACAAGCCUUCAUGUCUUGGAAUGAUAGCACCCACUUUUGCAAUUGGGAAGGUGUCUUGUGCACAGUGAAGGCUCCACGUCGUGUCAUCUCUCUAAACCUUACAAGUCGAGGUUUAAUAGGACAAAUCUCUCCUUCACUUGGGAACCUAACAUUUCUACAUUCUCUAGCCCUGAAGAGAACACACUUACUGGAGACAUCCCAACCUCCCUCGGUCACCUGCAUCGCCUCCAAACCCUACGUCUGA